rnacentral:rRNA from 1 species
GUGAGGAAUAUUGGUCAAUGGGCGGCAGCCUGAACCAGCCAUCCCGCGUGAAGGAAGAAUGCGCUAUGCGUUGUAAACUUCUUUUUCAGGGGGAUAAAAUUUUGUAUGUAUACAGAACUGAAGGUACCCUGAGAAUAAGCAUCGGCUAACUCCGUGCCAGCAGCCGCGGUAAUACGGAGGAUGCGAGCGUUAUCCGGAUUUAUUGGGUUUAAAGGGUGCGUAGGCGGAAGAAUAAGUCAGUGGUGAAACCCUGCAGCUUAACUGUAGACUUGCCAUUGAUACUGUUUUUCUUGAGUAUGGUCAAGGCAGGCGGAAUGUGUAAUGUAGCGGUGAAAUGCUUAGAUAUUACACAGAACACCGAUAGCGAAGGCAGCUUGCUGGGCCGUUACUGACGCUGAUGCACGAAAGCGUGGGGAUCGAACAGGAUUAGAAACCCUAGUAGUCC